rnacentral:lncRNA from 1 species
AGAGAGAGAGAGAGAGAGAGAGAGAGAGAGAAAGAGAGAGAGAGAGAGAGAGAGAGGAAACUCACGCUGCAACAACCGUGGCGAAAGCAAACUCCGAGUGGAGGAAGCAAGAUCGCGAUCAUUAACUCGCAGCAUAGUUCACACCGUGUCGGCAUCUUCCACUGUGAUGAAUGCUUCUACGCUUCUAAUGCGUUUCUUCCUGAUCUUCUAAAUCACUAUCAGAAUGGAAGCUGCGUGGUUCGCGUGGCUUUCCCUGUCAUUUGAUUGAGUCUAGUUUUGAUAUGCACAUGACAACUGUACUGAUACGCAACUAAUUCUCUUCCGUUAGAUUUAUUAUUUUCUAACUAAGGGUUGAGAUUUUUUGUUUCUUCCUUUUCCAAAUUUGUCCUUCAAUCCAUCAACCCUUCACUUCUCCUACAACUCUUGACACUGUACAAGUUCAAGGCAAAACAAUGUCGUUGAGAGGGGUAACUGUAUCCAAGUUACCGAAGUUGCUGAGAAGAGCGCGAAGCUCCAUCGUGAAAGUAAACAUUGACGGCGGAGAUUGCCUCCGGCAGUGAUGUACGGUGGUGGAAGAAGGAGGAAGAUGAAGUGAUGGAAGCGAUGUGAGAUGACAGAUGAAUAAAAUCGCAACUGCUACACUCUUCUCUUCUUCCUUACGUUACUUCCCACACCAUCAAUCACACACCUACAGAAAAAAACUUUCCACACCAUCAAUCACACACCUACAAAAAAAAGUACAUCGAUUAACUUUAUAAUAGAUAUAAUUUCUUUCUCUGAAAAUCAUCACCAUAGUUUCCAUCUUUCAAAAAAAAUUUAAAUUGAUUAAUGAUUCCAGUUUUCAAUAAAAUAUUAUUUUUUUAUUUGUUUCAAAUUAAUUAUUAUUUAUGUAUCAAUAAAAUAAAAUAGUAUUAAAAGGUUACGAGGCUCGGACAUUUCUCUUAAACGUAUAGAAACAUUUCUCUUAAGCGUAUCGGUGUUAAUAUAAGUAUUGAACACUAAUACUCGUAUAAUAUUAGUAAGACACCCGUAAAACUUGAACAUUUCUCUUAAGCAUAUCGGUGUUCAAUACAAGUAUCGAACACUAAUAUUUGUAUAACAUUUGUAAGACACAUAUCCGUGAAGUAUCAAAUUCAAAAAAUAUUUAUUAAAUUUUUAACAAUUUUAGUCUUAGCACAAUUCUAACAUAAUUUUAAAAAGAAAAAAAAUACUCAAAUUUAUUUAAUAAAUUUUUAUUAUGAUUAUAAAAAUAAUAAAUAAAUAAUUAUAAAUUUUUCUGUUAAAAAAAAUUUAAAAUAUACUUAUGCACAUAAAUAUUUAUUUUUAAUUUAUAUAAUUUAUAAUUAUAUAAUAUAUAAAUUUGUGUUUAUGUAUCUAAAUUUUAAAGAUUAUAUCGUAUUCAUGUAGCAUAAGUGCUCGUGUCAAUAUCAAUGUUACGAACCAUACUAUUUUAGUAAAAUUGUUUUAAAUGAAACUAUAUAUUCAUUACUGUUUUUUAAUACUUUUCGUACACAUUCUAAUAAUUUUUUUUUUAAACAAGUUUUCUUACAUGAGAGAAAAAAUUAUAUUUAAGAAUAUUAGUUCUAAUUUUUAUAUUAUUCGUUUUUCUUAUUUUUAACUCCCCCUUUUCUCUCAUUAUUUCUAAUUUCUUAUAGUUUUUAAUUACUUAAUUGUUUAAAAUAUGUAUAAAAUUAAAUUUUACAAAAAUAUAUUACUAAAUUGUUAAAGAUUUAAAAAAUUAUGUGAAAUAAGUUGAUAUUUUUUAAAUAUAUCUUACUCUUUCACAUAAUAUAAAAGCUGACAUUCCAAAAACUGUUUUCAAUAAUAGUUAAAAUGUUACUAAUAACACACUCAAAAUCUUACGUAUAAAACUUUAAAUUGCUGUAGUUAUAUAAGAAAGACAUAGUAACAGUAUAACAAUGUUUUUCUUAUUAAUCACAACUAACUUGUUAUGAGUAAUGUGAAAAUGUUAAAAUAAAGGAGAAUAUUAUAUAACAAUAUCAAUAAGUAUUAUUGAGUGUAUCAUCUAGUAUCGAAAAAUAGUGACUAAAUAAUACUUAUUUAGAGACUAUUAAUGUUCGCACAACUCAUAUUUUUAAAAUUGAUUUUGGUUGUUGUCUAAAUUAUAGACUCUAAAUAAAAAACUAUGGAGCUUAGAAAAUAUUUACUAUAUCUUAAUAUCUGGUCUUGCAUAAUCAUAAUUAGUUUAUGUGAGGCAAGAUGGAUAGAAUUAUAUAGAUUGAAGUAAUAUUUUAUCUUCAUCGAUUAUCUCACAUAAAUUUUUAUGUGUAAUCAAUUAUGUCAUUAACAUAAUCGAUUAUCAAUUAUUCUUUUCCACAUAAUCGAUUAUGGCAUAUGUUCAUUUUCAGUGAUGAUCGAUUAAUAAUGAAAUUAAACUCACACACAGCUCAUCUGACGUUACAAACGAAGAACCAAACGCACUCACGACCCUCUCCCAGCUCUCUAGGUAUGUGCUUUGUGAAUAACCAAAUUGCCUCUGCUUUGUGAGGUUUGUGAGCUUGGGAACCACAUAUAUAUUGUUGCACCUCUUUAUUAUGCUCAUCUAGUGUCUCACCAACUUGCCUAUGCAUUCAUUUAGCUUUGAACUUGGUUAAACAAAUUCCUGAACAAUGCUCAGGAAUCUUAUGUGUUUGCUGCUGAAAAGCUUCUUUUCACAGAUGCACAUGCAUGCUUCACGUCCAAUGUCCACAUACAUCAAAAAAUCUAGUGAGGGCAUAAAUGAUAUUUCACUCAUCCUACUUGGCACUCACUCCCUCACCCUCUCCUUUCUUUUCACUUCUGAAUGCUCUCUCAUUUGAUCUAACUUUCCCCUCACCCACACCCUCCACCAUAACUGGAUCCAAACGAGAGUGACACCCCACAUUCGUCUGCAACUACAAUAUCACUCCAAUCCAAACAGGGGCUAAAUGUUAAAGCGUCUACUUUUAAAGAAAGAUGAAUCAGACUUCUCAAAUAAAAUUUUAAUACACCAAACCUUUGAGUUUGUAUAUGUUCAAUAUGAAAUUUACAAAAGCACAUAAGAAUAAGAAAAAACACUCAAUUUUCAACUAUGUUUUUAGGACGUAUAUAAAUAAAAGCAAACUCAUGAAAAAAAUAAUUAUUACUUGAUUAGUACCACUUUUUUGUGGUACUGAAUAUGUCAGGUUGUGACGAACCAAUACAAACUAAAAUGUUAACUGUUGUUUUCUAUUACACAUGUACAAAUCCUUAUUGAUUUUUAUCAUAGAUCUGUAAACGUAUCUCAAAACUAUUAGAAAACUCUAUAUUAGUGUCUCAUAUAUCUGAAAAAAAAUCAAAAUGUUUUAAAGUUCUAUUAAAACAUUUUAUUUAUAGAAUGAAUUGUUUAUUUCAAAUCACAAAUUUGUUUUUGUAUUUUUAGCAUGAUAAUAAUGGAUAAUGAGAAGUGAUAUUUCAUUUGUACAUUAAAAAUAUAAUAAAAAUACUUAUAAUUAUUAUUUUAUUAGUGAAACUCUUCGUGACUGACAAAAGAAAAUUGCAUAUAUUUUAGAUGGUGAUGAACCAUUAUAAACUAAAAAAUAAUUUAACAUUGUGUACGUGUUUGUAUGUUAAAAAUGAUAAUAAAAAUACUUAUAAUUAUUAUUUGAUUAAUACAACUCUUUGUGAUCAACAAAUAAAUAAAAGCUGAAUAUAUCUUAGAUUGGAAUGAAGUAAUAUAAACUAAAAUGUUUAUUAUUGUUUUCUAUUACACAUGUAAAAAUCUUUAUUGAUUUUAUCAUAGAUAUGUGAAUGUAUUUCAAAAUUAUUAAAAAAAUCUACAUUAGUGUCUAUAGAUAUGGUAUUCUAUAGAAAAAAUCAAAAUGUUUUAAAGUUCUAUUGAAAUAUUUUAUUUCUAAAUUUAAUUGUUGAUUUCAAAUCACAAUUUUUUUCUUUUAUUUUAAGAAUGAUAAUAAAUAAAUAUUUAAACAAAGGAAUUAGGCUUUAUUUUGUACCUAUUACCAGAUUAUAGAAAUAAAAGAAAAAUAAUUAAUCUUGGUUGGAAUCAUGAGGUGAGAAUAUAUAUUUCAAAAAGUGAUGGUAGAAAAUUCAGUUUCCUGUAAAGGGACAAAAAGGUGACUUCUUUAAUUGAAACUAAAUGAGAAAAAAAAAAUCACUAUCAAAAUACCACAUAAGGAAAAACAAAAAACUAAAACAAAACUAAAAAAAAUAUAAAGACAAAAAAAGGUAAAUUGAAUAUAUGAUAUAGAUUAUACACGUAUGUAUACAAUAAACGUAUAUUUUAAACAUUUAUUUAAUUAAAUAAAUAAAAAACAAAGUGAUACAAUUUUAAAUAAAUACAAAAUUAAACUGAAAACAAGAUACUUAUAAUUUAAUUAGUAUUGUGUUAAUUUUUUAAAAUAGUAUUACAAUGUGAUGGAUGUAGAAUUUUAUAUAUGUUAAAAGUUUGUAAAAUGAUAUUUUAUUAUACAUUUUAGUGUUAAAAAUUGCUAUAUUAUAUUUAUUAAUACUUAUUGAAUUGAAACAUAGAAAGUAUUGUUGGGAAAAUAUAAAUUGGAAAAUUGUUAUAGUGAUUCUUGAAUUUAAAGAAUCUUGAAUUCCUAACCUAUGAAAAAGGGUUAUUGACUCUGCUCUGAGGCAAUAUUUUCAGUAGUGAUUUUGAUGCUCUUACAAGUGACCACCACACCACUUCUUCAAACCAAUAACCCUUUUUGUCUCACAUCUCAAUGCAUCAUAAUUGAGUCAACUUGUUUCAUACCAUUAUCACAUAGAGAGUGAAACAAAUUUCAAUUAUUCUUAAUUUUAAAAAGUUAAUUUAGUUAUUAAAAAGUAUUAUUUUUUAAUUUGAAAAAUUGUCCAUUGUCACAUUAAUCUAUUUUAAGAGAAAUUUAUUACAAGACUUGAGUAUUAAACUUAAUAAUAUUUUCAGUCAAAAAAGUAAAAGAAUAAAAGUUAUGCUUCUUUAUAGAGACCAUACUAUAUAUACGUUGGAAUGAAGCGUGAAUGGCGUAACAAAGGAACAAAAUAAGAGCCAAAAAAAGAAUCAAAUUAAUUGAAUUGCUACAUCACAUUUUCUCUCUGUGACAGUAUACUCUACAAUGUCGACACUGUUAUGCAGAGAUAAACAAAUUUGUCUGUCGAAAUUCGAUUGGAUUGAGGAAAGGCUUCAGACAGAUAAAACCCUUUAUUUGUCUUUUUUGUGUAAUAAAAAUGUUUUCCAAUAGUUUUCAGUCACUGAUAAUUAGAUGAAUUAAACAUCAUUUUUUUAUAAUUUAUUAAGAUAAAAUUAUCUUAUUUGCUAAUUAUUUUUAAUAAGUACAUUUAUAUCUUAUUUAUACAAAUGAUAAGCCUUUGUAUUUCUUAACUGAUCCAAAUUUCAAAUUCUAAAACAAUGCUGUUUCAAAAAUAAACUUCAACAUAUAUUUAUAUAAAAAGUUAAUAUUUAAUUAUGUCUUUCAACAUUUUACCCAAAAUCAUAAUUCAAAAUUCAAAUUAUUCAAUCACCACUUCAAUGAACUUCACAAUCGCAAUUCAUUUAAUUACAAUUUAAUCAUUUGAUUUUCAUUCCAAAUGCACCAAAUUCAGUUACAACUACCAACUUUCUAUUUUCACGUGUACAUAAAUAUAUUCAUCCAAUAUCAUACCUGAAAUUCUAAAUUCAAUCAAGGCUCCACAAAUUCUUAUUCUUCUGAUUAUUUAUUUUCUAAACAAAUCUAAAGCAGAAUAAUAUUUCAAAGAUAACUCUCUUGUCUUGAAUCCUAUAUUCUUAUAUUCUUUAAAUAAAUAAAUACUUAAAAUUUUAACGUAUAUUCUCAUUGUAUAAUUUUUAUUUAUUUACACAUAUUCAUUUAAGAAAUGUGUUAAUCGGUUUAUUAAUAAUCUAGUUGAUAAAUAUCAAGUCAAUUAUCAUAUUAGUAAAAUUUUGUUUUUAUAAUAAGAAAAACUACAUAGACAUGUAAACUAUAUAAUGCUUUAUUGAUAAGGUGAAAUUAACAUAUUUUUAAUUUUUACAUUUGUUCCAAAUUUCUAAAAUAGAGAAUUUUCAAAUUAAAUAAAUUAUUUACUUUUUUAAAUUUAAAUAAAAAAUAAUUAUUACUUUUAAAAAUGACCCGGUCCAUAAAUUUAAAAUUCAGUCAAUACAUAUUUAGACUUUGAACUAAAUAAAUCAGGAUUUUUUUAAAUUUUAAUUUAAAUUACAAUAUUUUGUUAUAUUUUUCCUUUUUUAAGAAUUUGUAGAGUUGGUCUUUCAUAUCAAACAUAUCUUGAAAACUCUAAUCUUAAUCAAUAAAUAAUUAUGUGGAUUUUAAUUUUAAAAUGUUUUAUAUCUUUUUAUUGUUUAGAUUUAUGAUUUUAAAUUUAAUUAACUUCGAUAUUUUCAGCUAAUGUCAUCAUUUUUCAUAAUUUUAAAUCUGAAUCAUCACUACUAUAUAUAAACAAAAUUUUCCUCAUUUAACACUAGAGAUUUUAAAAUUAUUUUUUGGUCUUUUAGUAGUAAAGAUAUCCUAAAUAUCUUUAAUAAAUUUUUGAAAUUAAUUAAAAGAAUACAUAAUACAGUAAUAAGUAAAAGAAAUAAAUGCAAGAUAUUAAACAUUAUUAAUUAGUUAAUGCUUUUCUUUUAAAAUACUUUAAAUUAUUAAUUACAAAUAUAAAAUAUAAUAAUUUAGUUAUUUAGAUUAUGAAGACUCAAUCUCUAACCAUAGAUAAUACCAAUCUUAAACCUAUUAAAUAUUUAUUCACAUUUAAGUAUUUUUUUUUUAAAUCAAAGAAACUAUAUGAAGAAAUUUGUUAUACAGUGAGAUUCCAAUGAAAGUCCAACUGAGAAAAAGAUAUUCAGGUCCCAUUCAAAAUUGGAAUAAAAGUAUAUUUUUUCUAUUAUUUUCAAAGGGAAGAAAGAUAGGUUGGAAUAUGAAGAAUUGAUUAUUACACAGACAAAAUAGAAUAAAUUUUAUCUUUUUGAUGAAAAAUAAAAACCAGAAUGAAUGACACCCUUAAAUAACGCGCCAGGAAAGCGCGUGUGAACAUCCUCUGCCCCUUGCAUUCUAUUUAACCACUCUUUCAAACUCAUCACUGUACUCGGCCAUUUACUGUCUCUGAUUUUCUCUGCACAGUUUUCUUUUUCCUCUCUCCGUUUUCUUUGUUUCGAUGGAAUUCAAGUUUCGUGAUGGCGAAAACCGAAGCAUUCCCCUCUCUCCACAGCAGCGCCCUCUCUCCAUUGUCCCUUUAGUCUCCGGUCACCCAUUACGAGGUAACGUUCACUUCACUUUUUUCUCGUAUCAGUUUCUUACACCGUACCCAUUUGUGUAGCUAUUUGAAAGACGAUGUUUUUCUCAUAUGGGUUCCUUUUAUUCUCCUCUUUGCAGGUGGUUUUCCAAGUCCUGGUGGUUUUCCGUGUUCUGGUGGUUUUCCGAGUAUUGUCCCUUCGUCGCCGAGAGUAUACCCGAUCAAUGCCGAGGAAUCGAUCCGGCGAGAGAUGGUAAGGGAGCAGAUAAGGCGGGAACUGGAGAAGGAGGAAAUAAGGAGAGAGAUUCUGGCCAGGGAGAUGGCAUGGCGACGUGACUUGGAGGAGGAGGUUAGGAGAGAAAUGGCGUCGGAGAGAGCACUGAGAAUGCCCAUGCACAGGAUGGAAGGAGUCACAUUUGGUGAACGAGUCUUCUCGUAUUCUAUGAACCCAGGAAUGAGACUGAACAACCCUGAUCAUAACAACAACAUAUUUGGUGGACCACAACCUCAGUUAGCCCCUAAAGUUGAUAUCACACAGUUCAACAAGCAGAUACCAGAUGAAACUAACCAGGAUAAAAUAAUAAAAUUGGUUAGUGAGGUUUAUUUCAUGUUUUCUUUAUUUAUUUUUUCCUGUCUUCUACAGUGGUGUUUGGAUUAUUAAAAGCUUGUUUGUUUUAAUUUUUGGAUUAAACAAUAGUAAGCCAUCAUUAGGAUCUUCACUUGUUCUUUCUUUCUUUCUUUCUGUUAAUAGUAACUAGAGUAUUUUAAACUGCACAAGUAAUGUCUAAGGUGAUAAGUAUCCAUGAAUUUGGUUUCUAAGUUUGAUAUAUUUGAUUUUGUGUAGGAAAUAAUUUAAUUUUUUUUCAAUACUUAUGAUUUCUUUACUUUGAGAUUGUUUAGGAAAAACCAAAGGUGAUAAUGUGGAGAUGAAAACGAUGAUUUAUUUAGUUAGAAGUUGUCGCUUGUUUGAGAAUUUUCUUUUGAAUAUAUUGUGGUGUUUGGUUCAUUUAGUGAGUUCCACAGCAUCUAUUCUGGGAAUAAUUUUUAUUUUGAUAGUUCAGAUUUAAAAAAGUAUUCAAAAUUUGAGGCAACUUAUCUUCAUCUACCGAUUAUCAUUUGAUAAGUUCCUCCAUACAGGUUGUAUAAUUUUUUCAUUGCAUGUACUCAUUUAGCACUGAUGUGACCCUGGGAUGAAAAUUAGAGGGUUGAAAUUUUGAAUGUUUACUUUAUAAAUUGAAUGUCAGAUAAAAUAUAAAGGUGUUCUUAAUCAAUGUUUUGAGGACACUGAUUAAGUAAUAAAAAUAUAGAAAGUUUAUUAAAAUAGUUGAAUUGGGUUAGUAUAGAGUAUAUUUUUACAUUUUUCAGUGAAAACUUCUUAUUUUUAAUUCUUUAACAAGUGAUUUUGGGACAUAUUAUUUCAUAUUACAUGGACUUGUUUGAUUGUGUUUUGAAUAAGAUAAGAAUAAACAGUUUCAUAUUACAUGGACUUGUUUCAUAUUAUUUCAUUUUCCGUAGAAUAAACACUUUUUUAGGAUAAGAUAAGAUCAAGGACCUGUUUGCAAAGCAUUGAAAAUGGUUUUGGAGAUGAGAAAGAAGGAAAACUUAUUUGGUAUUUAUUUUGGGAAUAUGUUUUCUUGUUUUCAAAAUUAAAAACACAGGUGAAAACAACUCAUUGCCGUCUUUGUUUGAGUUAUAAAAGCAAUUACAUUGAAAAUAGUGUUCUUGAUUUUUUUUCCCCAAAAGAAACUACUCAAAACAGAUAUAUUGCUUGAUGGAUAAAAAUUAAAGUAUCAUUUUUAGUGGGCCAAGUCACAAGUGCAUUGGAAGAGUGUUUUGUAUUUUCUUCUGUUCGUGAACAGUGUAUUUUCUUCUCCAACAAAGGUCUCACUAGACAUCAUUUAGUUUUAUCUAUCAAACAGUAAAGAAGCCCUGCUGUAUUCAAUCCAUAAACACAUGAUUCAGCCUUUGGUUUUACUGGUGCUCAUUGGCUUUUGCAUUCUAUCACCUUCAAAGAAGCACACACAUACCCAAUACAUUUCUUUGUAGUAUAUUUGCAUCACUCUGUUAAUUGAGAAGAUGGAGUAAAUAUAUAAUGAAUGCUUAAGCUCUUAAUGAACUAGUUAUUAUAAUAUAUUAUGUUGUUUAUCCCGUUGCAGGCUAAGCCAAAUGCUGAUCUUCUUAGUUUGAAGUGCAAAGAGGUGCUAGAUGUUAAUCAUGGUGGUGCGAAGCGCAAACUGGUUCCAGGUGAUGACAAUCAUGCUGGAUCUAGCUCGCAGAAGAAACCCAAGAAGGAGUGGAGUUGUGCAUUAUGUCAGAUUGUUGCCACAAGUGAAAAGGGCUUGACUGAUCAUCUUCAAGGGAAAAAGCACAAGGUUAAAGCAGCAUCUCUUACAACUAAAAAAAUGGGUAAGAACACCAAACUACAUUGUCCUUAUGAAAAGUAACCAGUGUGUGAAAUCUACUAAAGUGUUGUUACCAUGAAUUCAGGGUUGGAUGCAAGACAGGAUGGUGAAACACUUGGAUCUGGCAUUAGUCCUGCAGACAAAGACAAAGGCAAAGUAGAACUCAGUGCAUUAUGUCAGAUUGUUGCAACAGGUGAAAAGGGCUUGAAUGAUCAUCUUCAAGGGAAAAACCACAACGUUAAAGCAGUGUCCCUUACAACUCAAAAAAUGGGUAGGAGCACCAAAACUACAUUGUCCUUAAUGAAAAGUAACCAGUGUGUGAAAGCUACUAAAGUGUUGUUACCAUGAAUUCAGGGUUGGAUGCAAGACAGGAUGGUGAAACAAUUGGAUCUGGCAUUAGUCCUGCAGACAAAGACAAAGACAAAGUAGAACUCAUAAAAAUGGACUUGGCUGUGCAGAAAAGUCACGAUUCAGGUGGCAUAGAUACUAAAAAUGAAGCAACCAUUGAGAAAGAAGUUCCGAAAACAAAGGCAUCAACAACAAGGAAGAAGUUUAAAUUUUAUUGUGCAUUUUGUCAAGUUCGAACUCACUCAGAAGUUGUCAUGGAAAGUCAUAAAAGUGGAAAAAGGCAUCUGGCUAAUAUUACAAAACUUAACCUAAACAAUUCUGCUGGUGCUUGUGCUGCUGCAAAUUCGGAGUAACAACACAUGUUAUAUGUUUUGUGCUUAGAUUCAUGAAUACUUGUCUCUUUUGGUCAUUAACAUAACCCAUUUUAGUAUGUUUGAGAGUUUGAACUUGAAGACAUUGUCCUUUUUGUUUGGAUUGAAAUGUAGAGGAAAGAAUAGAAAUUAAACAAAAAGAUGUAUUGUUUAGAUGAAUAGAAAUAAGAAGAAAAAAAAGUGCAAUAUUUUUUAGUUAACGUUUGUUUCAAGCUGUCUAGUUUCAAUCUUGGUAUUUAAAAAGUUGUGCUGGUUUAUAAUUAAGAUUUAUAGGAUCAUGGGAAUGUUUAUUAUAAUUGUCAAAACUCAUUAAACAUUUAUUUUUCUAAAUUGUUAUAGUUUAGUUUAAAUAAGAUAAAAGAUUAAUAUAUUGCAUAAUAGAGUGAAUUUUUAAAUGUAGAAAAUGUAUUAUUUUGACUUGUUAAAUUUACAGUAAUGAAAAACUAACCCAGGAUAAUUUUGUUUAGUUGUUGUAAAAAUAAAUUUCUAUUGGGUAAUUGGUUAAUAAUUAAGGGUAGUUAGUUGUGAGUAGAAAAAGAAAAGAAAAAAAAUGGAAUAUAGAGUGAUCCAAAAGAAAAGUUUCUUAACAACCUUUUUUUUAUGGAUACAAUUUUACAAAUAACACGCUAGUGAAUAACAUGUGUUUGAAGAUUUAAAAUAUUAGAUAUUUUUUAAAUUUUAUAAACAAAUUAUUGUGGAUAUUUUAGGCCAAGAAGUUUGAUAGAUAAUUUUCUGUGAAUUUAAAAUUAACAUGAAAGCCUUUUUUUUAUUUUAAAAUUAUGUUUUACAAAUUAAUGUUUUUUUAUUUAAAUUAUAUUGUGAUUUUUUUUCUUCUCCAAUUUUCUUUUUUCAAAUUAAGAUAAAAAAUAAAUUUUUUAAAAUAAAGUUAAAAUUCUUACAGUUACGAUUUGAAAAGUUCGGUUCUUCUUAAAUGGCGUAUCCGUGUCGGAUACACGUAUACGUAUCGAUACUCGUACGACACUCGUAGGAUACUUAUAGUGUUCAAUUCAAAAAAAUAUUUGUUGAAUUUUUGAAAAUUCUAGCACGGUUCUAACACAAUUUAAAAGGUAUAAAUACAAUAACUUUCUAAAAACUCAAAUUUAUUGUAUAAAUUUUUAUUAUAAUUAUAAAAAUAAGAACUAAUUCUUUUGAACCAGUCGUCCUGUUCCCAAAAAAAUCUGAAACAUACUUUUACAUAUAAAUAUUUAUUUUUAAUUUAUAUAAUUUAAAAUUAUAUAAUAUAUAGAUCCAUAUAAUUUAAAAUUAUAUAAUAUAUAGAUCCGUGUCCCCGUAUCCUAACAAUUAUGGCACCAACAAUAAAUGAUGUUUUUAAAUUAAAAAAAAAACUAUUUUCUAAAUGAUGACUUCAGUAUUUUUUUUCCAAUAAUUUGUUUUAUUUAAAACUAGAUCUUUAAUUUAAUGAAAAACUAUUCUUAGAAGCUAACAAAUCAAUUUACAGAAAAUUAUUUUUAAAAUAGUUUAUAUAAAAUCAAUUUUAGUAAUAAUAAGAAUAUCGUUAAAUAAAGAUUGGAAGAAAUAAAAAGAUAACCAUCCUUCAACGGAAAAGAUAAAGAAAAAAAAUACAAUCACUACCAAAUCAAUUGUCAAUAAACUAUAAAAACCAAAACAUUAAAACUUCUAUAAAAGACCAAUAUGGAAAAAAGAGACUAAUAAAGAAUAAAUAAAAAUGUGUACAAAAUUUAUCAAAAAUAAAAAUAUUAUAGUGUCAACCUAAACAAAAGUAAAAGACUAAUACGUAAGCCAAAGAUAUUUGACAGAUUUCUCCUUAACAGAAGAAAAUGAAAUAAAAAAAAUUAACUAAGAUAAAUCAGUUUCUCAGUGUUUCAUUUCAAGACAAAAAAGAAAGACUGAGAAAAGUGGUAUUACUCCACAUUAUUUUCUUCCAAAAUUAAGCUUCAGCUAAAUUACAAUGAACUUAAAUUACAAGAACAAAAUCAGAGACUUUGUUCUGUUUGGUAAUUGGUCUUGUUACUAUCCAACAAGACAAUAAAAUAUAAAUAAUUCCCAAGUUAAAAACCACAAGUCACCAACCAUGUGCCCAGUACUAGGCACAUAUUUCAAGACUUCUUAACAACUUCUGCAUAGUAGACAUUCAACUACUAUUUUGAUUUUGCAGCCAAGGUCCCAAAUUUGCUUAAAUUCUGGUAAAAUAGAUAGUAUUCUUUUUUACUUACAUUUCUAAUUAUGGUUGAUAGGUUAGGUAGAACUCAACCAAGAAGAAUCUUAUGACAAAACAAGUCUCUAUCAAGUGAACUAAUGGAUAGACAUAGUAAAUCCAACCACAAAGCACAAGAAACUAUGUUCAAACUAAGAUCACCAACUCAACAACGAUUUUGGUGUACUUUUUUCCAUGGAAAAAGAUAAUCAAACAACUCAAGUGGAGAAGAAAGAUAUGAUGAAUUAGGAGAACAUAAUUCUCCAUUUCAUCUCAUAUAUAUAUAUAUAUUGAACAUAUGAUUCUAUAAUGUAUGUUUUAUCUUUACAAAGGAAAACAUAAAACUAGAAUGGAAGGUUAAAAAUCUGUUGCAUAUGAAGGCAGACUAGACAUUCCAAAGGGGUAAGAAUUCAGCCUACUGUACUUUUAAAGAUCAAACCCUCAAUGCCACCUGGUCUUGCCAUGAAAUCUUCCUCUUCCCUGCCCUAUUUGAUCCAUCACCAACACUUCUACAAGCUGAGAGUUUGAUAUCGUUGUGCUGCUCAUCACUUCCAACUCUAUGUGUACUUCUCUUUGGUUCUUCAAUCCUCAUGGUCUCACUGUUGCCUUGCAACUCUUCUUCUUCUCUCUGCAUCACACCAACCAAAAAAAGGAGAAAACUAUCAGCAUGCUUCAACUAAACAUAAACAAGGACAGUGACAUAAACAGUACGUGCAAUUGAUUACCGAUAUCUGGUUCAAGUCAAAAAAUGGAGCUACACUCUUCUUUGUGGCUUCUUUGCUGCUGUGAAGCCUUUCUUUGUGAUUCAAGUCACGUGCUGGUGAAGCAGAACAGUGAAUAGUACUGUCUUUUCUACUAGAACUAAAAUUCCUAGCAUUCUGGUUUAGAUCAAACAGAUGGCUAGUUUUUUGCAAUGGCACUUCAGCCACAUUGGAUAUCUUUCCAUUAGGGUUCAAAUGAGAUGCAGAGUGGGAUCGCGAAGUAUGAUCCUUUCUACUGUAACUCUUUCCCUUCGAGAUGAUGGGAGUUUGAAUUUUGAGCUUCUGUGACUUUACAACUUCUUUCUUUGGUUGAGGCUUUGGAAUCGGAUGUUUUAGCAAGUAUUUGAACCGAUGCCUCAAAAAUCUGCAGUUAUGAGAGUGACAGUGAUGAGGAUAAGCACUACGAAUAACAAUGAACUCCAAACUAUGAAGAUCCUCAAUCUACUUUGAGGCAUGAACCAUUACCUAACUUCAUCUUCCAGUAUCAACCUUUUCUGCUCCGUAGCCUGCAAUUUCCUUCUCACGGCUUCUGUUUCCUGCGUAGGUUAGAAAUUCAAAUUUGAUGAGAACGGUUUUUGCAAAAUUAUGUUGCCAAAAAACCUUUGAAGCAAAGACUUGAUGAGGAAAAUAAACAAAUAAACACACUAACUAGACGAAAUUACUUUGACAAAACGAAAGUGAGCAACCAUGAAAAAGAAGAUUGACUAACAACCAAGUAUUAUUUAUAAAUGACAUGAAACAAAAACAUACAAAGCCAAUUAGCAUAAAAGACCAAGGGAAUGACAUGGAUAAAGUUAGCAACCAGAAAAGAAAAUACCGAUAUAUGAUUAAGUAUGAUUCAGUUCUUCACGAUAUAUAAUUAGUUCAAACAAAUACGAAAAAUAAGAUUGACAAAUCCAAAAUCCAAAAGAAACAACAGAACUAAAAAGUAAUUAGCAGAAAAAACAAGAGGCUGAAACUGAAAACUGUGCAGAGGAAAGGUUCCGAGAAGAGCUUUAUUGAAAGUAUGUAAGAAAAAAAACAAAAUUAAGAGAACUCACAUCACAAGAGCACACCGAGAAUUUGGCAUAUAAAGAAAUUGGUCGGAGUCCAAAAAAAUGAUAUGUGGGGAAUAAAGAAACGAAGAAAUUAGACAGAGAGAGAGAGAGAGAUGAGAACAAAUACACAAAGAUGAAUGUAAAAACCCACCAUUCAUCAGAUCGGAACAUAAACACGGAUCAAAUCCAAACAAAUGAUCAAACAGGCGUAUCAAUCUAAACACAAGAUCCCUUCAUUAUUUCCCCCGAAAAAAGCCCUCAAUUUUCACAACAAUUAACCAUCACAAACCCGUUAGACCAAACAAACAAUCAUACAUAUGAAACAAAACACACGAUCCCCUUACUGAUUCCUCCAAAAAAUCCAUAAUUUUAAGAAGAAAGAACCAUCACUGCCCGAAAUAAACCAAAAGCCCCAAGUACAUAAAGGGAAAAACCAGAUCCAGAGAACCCCGAACAGAAAAUUUCAACCUUCGAGGAAAAUAAGAAGAGAGCAAGACAAAGGCGUUACCUUGUGCAGGUCUUCAUAAUCCUGCAAGAGACUCUGGUGCCUGAACCGAGUCCUCUGACCCUGAUACGCCUCGUAAGGAGGGUCCAUGGAGACAACGGGUUUGAUCUUCUUCAUGAGAUCGGAGAGAAAUAGGAGAAGCCAGAAGACAAGAGCAAAGGAAAACUAAAGGGGAAAGGCAGAAAGAGAGAAAGAAGGUGGGUGGGUGGGGUGCGGGGUGAUGGAACAAAACGUGAGUGAAAGAAAUAGGAAAAGAGAGGCCCAAGAAAGAGAGAAGAGGUGAAGGGGUAAGAAGGUUCUCGCUUUCCUGUUUUCUCUGUGAGAAACUCUGACCGAGACAAAGAAACCCAAAAAGCCCACAUAACUCGGUGAAAAAUAUUGUUCUUUUGAAAGACCAGUGAUGAAGAUGGGAUUUUUUGGGGACUUGCAGAAGGGCAAUUCGGGGAACAUAGUUGAGAUGAGAGAGAAAGAGUGAAAUAGAGAGAGAGAUGUAUGGUGGGUUUGGUUGGAGGACAUUUGAACACAUCUAACUUCUCUCUUUUGUUUCCCAUUCUUUCUUUUUUGUUUUUCUUUCUUCUACAUAAAUUUUGGUCCAGCUGGGCCAUUGAUGAGAGAGAAAGAUAGAGGGUGGUGUGGACUCUUUGGUUUUGAUGGUAGGAUGGAUGCGUGGAGUUUCCAUGUUUCUUCUUUCCUUGUGUGUGUCAUUUGUUGUUGGUGUCUGUGUAGAGAGAGAAAUAGGUGAAGGAACGUUAAUGUGAAUGGGUCAGAGAGAGAAAGAGGGUAGUGUAGUGAAGAUAGAUAGAUAGAUAGAUAUGGAUAAUAGAUACAUAGAUUAGGGGCUGGAAAAAAAGGCAAAGGGAUAGAUAAAUGAGAUGAUGGGAUGAUGCUGUUUCUCUGCUACGCUGUAGCAGUUGUUGGUUCCAACCUUAUUUUUAGGCUUUGGUUUUGGCUUUCAGUACUUUGGUUUUUGUUGCCCUUGUCAAACCCACCUCCCUCAUCGUGCCAUGGUGGCUUUUAGGAAUCAUACAGAUCCCCCUUUCACUUCACUCCCCCAACUCUUUCUAUUUUCCAUUUUUUUUUAUUUCUUUCCAAUAGUCAAUUGCUCUGCAUUUACCUGUCUACCCUUCUCAUUCAUUUUCAUGCUUCUUUUUCUGCUUUUUCACCCCUGUCCUGGGUGGAGAAAAGAGAAAACCCAACAUGGUUUGUUUUUUCAUCAUGAAGCGGGUAAAGUAAAGAACAAAAAUCCCACACCCAAUUGCCACAUUACAUCAUCUCAUGAGAGAAAGGGUGGAUUGGGUACUUUGUCUUCUACACUCUCCCAACUCCAUCCCUAUCUUUAUAUUUAAUGUUUCCUCCAUCUUCAUGAAUGGAAUUACCAAGAUCCCACCAGCACCUACUUUCAGACUUUUGUGAGUCACACCAACCUACCUACUUAAUAGCCACUAAUUCUCUUCAUUGAAAGCUCCAUCACCAUUUCUUUCUUUUCCUUUAUCUCCCACAUUUCAGAUCCCAUUUCUCCAUUUCAACACCCCUUUUCUUUUAACUCGUUUUGCACAUAAAUCUAAAAGCUUUUCAUAAUUUAAAUUUGGGUUAUGAUUAUUCUUACAUGCUUAAGUUUACUGCAACUAAAGUGCAUGUGCUGGUGAAAAAAAAAAAACUUGUAAUGGGGGCAAUGUAGUUAAUGUGUGUGGUGAUAGGGGUAGUAUUGGCUGUAGAAAAGGUGAACCCACCCACUACCCAGCAUCCACAGAAAGCAUGGUAAGAAAUUUAAAACUAGCACACGCAUUGCAGAGAACUCUCCUAACACAAAGAUUCUGAAAUUCAGCAGUGAACAGAAGUUAGGGUAAAAUAAAGCUGCCGGUGCCUGUUGAUGUUGGAGUUUGGUUUAUUGGACUUGUUAACAUUUUUGUCGGUCAAUAUUUCACCAUCAACUCUCCACCACUGCUACUGCAACUUGUGAGACUCUACUCUCUGUUAUCAACUAUCUCUGUUCAUCAAAAAAGUACUAAACUUUUUUUUUCAACCCUAAAAAUUGGUGAAAACCCCCAAAAAUAUCGUAAAAUCAAUCAGUCAAUUAGUAAAAAUUCACGUCGGUAAAAAAAAAGUUACUGUAAAUUAAACAUUUAUUUUAAAUUAUAAACAUUGCAUUCGGAUCCUUACAGAGAUUGAUGGAACAACAGCUCUGCAUUCAUGGUUGAAGAAGACUACAAAGUAAUUACUCAUUUUUUUUCUCUAUUUUUAUAUAACGCUGUUUAAACUUUAUCCUAUUUUGUUAAAAAGAUAGAUAUUAAAAACUUAAAAUUGUCCUUUUUACAAAAGUAAUUAAACUCCCCUUGACAAGCAAUAAAUUUAAUAUUUAAUAAUAUUAUAGAAGUUUAUAUUUAAUAAAUAUACCUUAUACAUAAUUUAGAGAAUAAUUUUAUUUUUAUGAAAAACUGUUAUUUAAAGAAAAUAACUUUAAACACCAAAAAUAAUUAUCAAUUAAUUUACAUAAUCAUGUAUAAUUACGUAAAUUUAUGAGAAAAGUUUGAAGAGGAGAGACUUACACAGAUGCUACGAUUUUUUUUUAAAGAAAACGAAAAGUAAGAAAAAUGGAUAGUUCUUUCUAAAUAUUAUCUUGUAUUCAGGUUUAUAACGUAAAACAGAAGUUCGAAAGUUGAAAUUAAGGACACAUUUAUUCACCUUGUUUUGAAUCAUUGAAAGAAAAAGGAAGAGUGACCAAUCUGAUGAGGUGUAAAUUUGACAGUAGCAAGUGACAAACACAUGGCAUGCGACAAUGAAACCAUUUCGAAAGGAUGACUUGUUUCUUACUUUACGAUUGGUCCAAUCUACCACUAAUCUUAAACACAAGUACAAACCGAGUUUUCACUCUCAUUGUCCAAUUCAUACAUUUACAACAGUGUCUCUAACACCAUGGAAAAACCUUUCCCUUCAGUCAAUUCCUCCUCUCCCUUCAUUCAUUUUUCUUUGGGUUGCUCCUAAGUUCAAUAAAGUUUGAAACUUUUUUCACUUUAUCAUGUUUUAUGUGAUUGGGGUGGAGGAGGUUUUUGUGUCAGUUUUCUUUAUGUUGUUUGAGUAUGUUAAAGAUGACUUCAAAAGCCCGUCUAACUCAGUUGGUAGAGCAACCUUUGUGGUCGUUUUUGUUUUUGUUUUGAUCUGGAUCAGUGCUAACUGACAAUGAAGGGCAUCAUCAAUCACAGAACUUCAUUCAUACUAGUCACAGUAGAAAACAGAUUUUGGCUUUGAAUUGAAAAAGGGAUAUGGAUUCUUGAUCUGAACCUCAGGAUAUUUGCUGGUAUGUUUCUAUCUCCUUUUCCAUCAUUGACCUCAUCUUUCUAUGCUCAGUUUAUCUUAAAGUUUUAUUGCCUUCUAAGUUGCAUAGUUUAUUACUCAUGUGUAAUGCAGAGUAAUGUUUGAAGGUUACCCUGAGGUAAUAAAGCUUUGGUGAUUGAUUAUUUGCUCUCUUUCUCCUCACUGUUAAACAAACUUUUUUUGUGCUUUUAUGACCAGAUUCCGUUUAAUUUUUCUUUUUAAAGCUGCAAGACAGUUUUUAUGUGCAUCAUCAAUGUUUGACUGCAUCAUCCAACGUGAGUGAUUUAAAGAGCUAUACAUAGAUAAUACUAUAUAAGUCAAUGAUAUUUUGAUACAUAAUUAAUAAGUAAUUAAUAACUAGUUGUUAAUUAAUGAUUAUUUUGAAACAUAAUUAAUAACUAAUUAUUAACUAGUAUUAAUGAUAUUUUGUAUUAAGGAGUAAAUUUUAAGUUAAUUCAAUCCCAUAAAACUAAUUCUUGUAUACUAUAAAAUAUAUUCAUCUUUAGUUCAUAUAUGAUCUUCAACAUUCGGUUAAAGCUGUCAACUCGUACAUGAUAGUAUAUAAUGAAUGGUUUUUAUUAAAAUAAAUUUUAAAUAACUUUAAUAUCAUAUUAAAAAUUAAACUUUAAAUCAAACUCAAUUUUAUAAAAUUUGGUAUGAAGUUUGCGUAUUCUUAUAUAAUAUAUUAUGAAAUAUUUUUAUUUUUCAUAUGUAAAAUAUGAUAAUUUUUACAUAUAAUUAAUAAGUAAUAAGUAAGUAGUUGACUUAAUAGUUAUACUAUUAAUAUCAUAUUGAUAGUAGUUGUCAUUACUUUUUUCUUAAAACAUGAGUCUCACCAACUUUCCAAUUGUUUCGGCAACUCAGGAUGAACAUGGAUACAUUUUGAAAAAGAAAAAUCUUUAGCAAUGGAGUUUUCUUCUUAUUCUUUUUCCUUCACAUAGUUACUCUUUUAGUGGAGUUGCUUUUUUAUUUUACCAUUUUUCCUUUCUGAAAAAAAAAAUCAAUUCAUUUUUUUUGUAAUUUAAAAUUUAAAAUUAUUUUCUCACGUAAAGCACAAGCUGACCCAAUAAAAACUAUGGGCCAGAUUAUUCGGUUGUUUAUUCUUUGACUUUUUUUGUUACAAAGCAAUAUUUUUUCCAUUGUCUCUUAUUUUCAUCAAUGAGUUUUUUUUCCUUUUGAGACAUGUUAAAAGUACUUUCUAAUCCACUUUUACAAAGUACAUUAUUAUUAUUAUUAGUUACAAUAUAUUUAAAAUAAUCAAAUUUUACUGGUUUUAUUUAUUUAAUAUGCACCAUUAAUGUUUUAUAGUAUUUAAAACUUUUCGUUCUUAUUUAUAAGAUCUAAAAUGGUUUUAAUAUUGGUACCACUUUAAAUUAAAAAUAAAACACUCUUAAUAAUAUACAUGAAAACAAAUUACUUAUGAUGUACUGUUGUAUAUAUAGGAUUUUUAAUUUGUCUAAUACAUCAUUUCUUAUUGAGUACACAAACAGAGACAUAAUUACAGUGAAAAAUAGAUUUUAUUAUGUUGUGAAGAAAAGGAUGAAGUUGGUAGUAGAAUUUGUGUGAUUGAACAAGAAACUGAGAUAUAUUAAUGAAUGGUGCAUUAAUUUAACAUGAAUAAAAGUGUUACAGUGCAUGUGUCAAUGUUUUGGUAGUUCCUUUCCUGCCAAAAAGGACUUGAAAAGGGUGUAAGCUCGCUUAGGCUGAAACAAAGGAACUUCAUGGCCAGCUCCUCUUACUGUUGCAAAAGUUAGACCAUUAUACACCUCUGUCCAUCCACCAACCUAAUAACCACAUGAAUUAACCUUAGUGAGAAACAUGGUAAGUGUAAUAUGCUUAUGUUUUAUGGUCUUCAAAUUUAGUUAAUUAACUAUAAUACCUGUCCACCAGAGUACCAUGGAUACCAACGAGUUUUGAUGCUGAGGUUAAGGUGGUUCAGA